GUUUAUGGCCAUGCUACCCUGAACAAGCCCGAUCUCGUCUGAUCUCAGAAGCUAAGCAGGGUCGGGCCUGGUUAGUACUUGAGUAGGAGACUACCUAGGAAGACCAGGUGCUGUAGGCA
rnacentral:rRNA from 1 species